CUGUGAGGCGGCAGCGCCCUCUGGUGCCUGGAGCCCGCACUCCAGGCAGGGUGCCCUCUGGUGGUGGUGGGCCAGCAGUACCUCCUCUUCAGCAGCCCACACAACAGGAAACAUGAAGGGCCUUAUCUUUUACCCAGCACAACCCAGGUGAUUUUUGUUUGUUUGUUUGUUUGUUUUACCAAUUUCCACCUAAUGGCUUUCAUACUAAGCACCUAUGUCCUCUGAGGGCCCCGUUACACAGGAAGACAUCAUUUGUGAGUCCCUUGUGCAUUUGAAAACUUUGCUGAGACAUAGAAGGGCACAAAAACAACUUCAUGUGUAAUUGCUUCAUAGAAGGGUACAAAAACAACUUCUUGUGUAAUUGCUUCAGUGUCCCUUGUGUGGCGCUAUUGUCUCCCAUGGAUUGGGGCGCUACAGAUUGUCACAUUUCCACAGACAUCUGCCACUUUUAUUUUUUACAUAUAUGCUGGAUUUGAGCUGUUUGCCGUGGUCUAAAAGCAUGACGUCAUAUUUCCUCACUGUACGUGCGCUCUCCGAGAGUGAGAGAGGGCAGAGAAAAUUAGCUAAAUAUUAAAAGAUUCAUUUUCCAUACUCUUCAGUUUGGAUUUAUCUUGUGUGCAUGCGAGACUGUCAAAGUCAUUCAAGUGGGCAGCACCAGCUAAAUUGACAGAAAAAUGACAUCACUAAAUAAUUAACAACUUUCACUGGACUUUUUACAGCUGAAAAACAACUGACAACCACAAAAAAAUACUAACAGAUUUUUUAAAAACCAUUGCAGGGACUGAAUAAAAAAACAUCACAUGACUGCUGUCCGGUUCAGAAAACAUACUUUGUCUUCUUUCAACCGGAUGCCACACAGAGCUCUGAAAUGAUUAAAAAAAAAAACCUCUGGAUUAUAAAAAAUAAUGGAAAAAAGCUGUGGUGAGUCCAGAAUGAACUUAAUGUACCCUCAGUAAUUACAUAUUAAAAUGUUCCACACGAGGUGUUUUCAUGCAGGUGCUGUCAGGCGCAUCGUAGUUAAAAAAACACACACACACAAGAUGAAUCCAAACUGAAAGUACACUGUACAGAAAUAUAGAGAAAGGAUUCAUUUAAUAUUUAGCUGGUUUUGUCUUCCAUGGUGACAGGUUUUUAGUUUGUUAGUGCUACAGGUUGUCAUCAUAACAAUAAUCGUGGUGCAGAUUACUUCAGCAGCAGCAAAUCCAACGCGUCUGACCUAAUGUGUGCUUUCGGUAACAGUCGAGCUGCGUGUCUGCUUGUGCCGAAUUGACACUGAAACCUUCAGGAGCUCAGAAUGAACCAUCAACCAUAGGAAAAGUAGAAGACACAGCUAUCCGACUGAUCUCCGCUCAGUUUUGAACACACACAAAACUUUUUGAAGAACUACGCGGACAUCAGCUGACAAGGAACUUAUUUUGUGCUUUAUAAUAUGAACUUUAUUCAUUAAAAUUGCAGCACACAGCCUCAAUUAUUCAGUGAUGAUGUGGUCUGUGCACUAUUUGAACAUCCUCCAGUCUUGGAGACUCUUCUGCAUUUGUCAGGUGCAGCUCCAUACUUCAUGGAGACUAUGGUGUGUAGUGCACAACUAUUGAGCAUGCCUUGUAAGGUCCUGGUGUGCGCUGUGCAUUUCUACGCCAUCCUGUCGCGUUCUCCGUAAUUUCCUGCUCACACAAGGGACACAGAAUGGACUCUGUCCCUGUGUAACGGGGUCUAACUCGUGAGCCCAUUGUGUAGGUCUGAAAAUCAAGUGUGGUCAGGUCCCAAAAAAUCUCCAUUUUCCAAACAGAAUCAUGGAGGCAUCAGAAAGAGUUUAAUUUCAGUAGAUCUGUGAUUAGCAAUUAUUUCUACUGUUCAUUUUUCAAUAUUUCUGUUCAUCAUUUAGUCUGUAAAAUAUUAGAAAGGAGCAAAUAAUGGCUGUGACAGUUUCCCAGAGUGUAAGAUGAUGUCUUUGAUUGUAUUCAAUUUACAGAAUAGUGAAAAGAAACAAAUUCUGAAACAACAGAUUCACAAAAAACUUGAUCAUAAUCAUUAUAGUGAUAAUUUUUUGUUUGUAAACUAGCAACUAAGGUGGUUAUGUUGUAAAAAGCGAACCCACUUGAAUGGCGUGGACUUUUAAAGUUGUUGGACCUCUUACAGAACCUUGUCAGUUUGAUUCUGAACUUCGAAAGCUGAGGAUGUGUUUGGUUUAUGCUGUGAAAGCACCAUUCUGAGGCCACUGACCACACAACAGGUGUGUGACGUUGUUGUUGAUCAUCACAGCCCACAACACUGAUGACAUGAUGCCAAAUGGAUACACCAUACUGUAGUUUGAAAUCAAGGGCGAGUUCCACAUGGAUUCAAUACAUGGUUCUGUUUCUGUAAGCGACCCAGUACUGUAUAGGUUCAGAGCACGUGCAGCACGGAAUGUAGAAAAGUAAAAGUUUGGUUUGGAGUUGUGGUUCGGCCACUCAAAUUGUCCUUUGUCUCCCUCACUUCCUGCCUAAGUGCCUAGACCAGAGGACUAAACCUGAUUGUUGUACGAACUGAGAAGAGUUUGUUCCCUGACCUCUGGUGAAGGUGGGGCUUACAUACGAUUUUUCUGAAGGUUUUUGGAAAGUUUUCCCAGGUGGUUGCUGAGGGUUCUUUAGAAGGUAGUAAAGAUUGUUCCUCAGAGAUUCCUGCUUUGGGUUUAGGGUCAACUCGUGCUGCAGGGAUCUCUUUUAUUUGCUGCACUUUGAGACAAACAGACGGUGCCUGUUGUUCUGUUGCUUUUAACGUGGAGUUGUUUUCUAUUUAUUAUCAUAUAAUGCUGCAGUUUGGUUUGGUGUAGCGCCCCAGUAUGGCAUGCUUAAAAUCUGAUUCUCUUAGUGUUAAAAUUUUUUGAUGAAAGUUAUUUAUGUCCUAAUAUAUUUUCUCAUUAUGUUUUGGAUGAUGGGGAGAGAUGAGGUAGACUGGACCUGAGGUACAGAUUAGGUAAGACUUAAACACCAGAUCUGGGUUGUCUCUUUAAAAUCCACUGCUGUUGUCGCAGUAAUAGUGACACUGUGAGCCUUUGAAGGUUAAAUCCAAGGUCAACAUGCCUGAAACGUUUUUACAGGCUGUGCGGAACAGCUGUUGUCAAGUGGGUCCAGUUUGUUUUGUGUGUGUUGGCUCCAACAGGCACGUUGGAGGCACAUUUACGUACGUACUCAUUUAUUUUCGCUGGGAAACACUGCAGCUCUGAAGUGCAGAUACAGACUGUGUGAGCACCCCAUCUGUCUGUGGGCAAAAUAUCACAAAGUACUGAACAAAUUCAAAUGCAAUUUCGCUGACAAAAGGGGCAUGGGGUACUCAGGACAGAUUGUUGUCAGGAAAGUUAUUAAAUGAAACUAGCGCGUUGCUCGUGGGGAUCCACGGGCUCUAGAUUGGGUAGUGUUUAUAAAAUAGGUAGCCAACAUUUUUCAAGGGUGAUAAUAAAUUAAGAAAAGUUUCUGUAAUGAUUUGGAAUGGCAUGUGAGUCCAGAAUGUAAUUAUCAAUGUCCAUUGUUCAUUGUUGUUACAUAAUAGCCAUAAUUUCUGCAAAAAUAUUCAUCUUAUCAACUAUCCCUUUUGAUGGCAUUCAUUCUUGACCCAAAAUACAUAAACAUACCAAAUAGCAAAUGUCAAGUCUCCCCCGUUUCUCCUUAUUCUAAGGUACACAUACACAGAGGCUACUUUGUGUUUAAACUUUAGAUGAUUUACCGCCCCCUGCUGGAAUGGCGUUUGAGUCCAGAAUGUAAUUAUCAAUGUCUAUUGUUCAGUGUUGUUAACAAAUAUCCAUAGUUUCUCCAAAAAUAUCAGUCCUAUCAAUGUUCCGUUUUGGCAGUGUUCAACCUUGACCCAAAAUACAUAAACACACCAAACGGCAAAUGUUCACUCUCAGUUUUUCUGUGAUCAAAGCUAUGCGCACUCACACAUACACGUACACAGAGGCCACGUGGCUUUUAUUAUCUUGAUAGAACUAAACUAUCUCAAAUUUCAUAGCUGCUACACUGCUUUUAAAAGUUGUCAGUUGAGGAGCUGUGAUAGCUGGAAUGUAGCAGAUGUACAACCGUUGCAGAUCCCUUGUUUCAAAGCUUGGCCUCCAUGUCUUCACUGAAUCUCCAGUUCAGUCGAAAGGAUGUCUAUUCCAAAUAUUAUUAACUGCCUGAGGCUCAUUAAAAACUUGCAUUAUUCACAACUGAAUGUUGUGCUUGUCAAGACAAAGUGCUGUCCUUUGGGCUGUACGUACAGCAGUACAUGUUUCUGCGUGCUAAAACUCAAGAACUGUAAAACUCUAAAAAUUGAAUUUUUUGUACAUUAAUACUGGGAGUUGAAAGAUCUGCAUGCCAAAAAAAUCAUGCAUUUCUGAUAUUUAUAAAUACCAUCUUUACUGAAUUUGGGUUUCAAGUAGGAAGUGUAUCAGAAGCUUUGAAAUACCCACUCCGCCCACUAGAUGGCAGCAAAAGCUGCUUGACUGUUUAUUCAUUUGAGAAGUUAACUUUUAUUUAAAAUAAGAUGGGCUGACAGGCAAAAAAUAAACUUACACUUGUGUCCCUGCUCUUGCAAUCUACUUACAGAAACUAUCUAAAAGCUGAGCUGAAUCAUCCAGCACGAUGACACAGGCACUAUAUUCUGAUUACAACAUUUUAGUGAAUAUAUCAUUAAGAAAGCUGUAGUGAGGAUUAAAAUCUGCAGUGCUUUCAAAACUUCGUAAUACUAAUGUCGAAAAAGCACCCAGCAACAUUUAUGAAGCUCUGUGUAGAAUUACUUCAACCGGAUUUUCCAGAAUAAAAUCACAGCUUGUUUUUACUAGUUUGGGAGGUCCUGUGACUUAUACGCCAUUAUUAUUAUUAUUAUUAUUAUUAUUAUUAUUAUUCCCAGGAAUCAAAGCGCUAAACAAAAUAAGCUCCAAUAAUAAAAGAAUAAAUCCAAAAAUAAAGAGCUCACUAAAAAAAAAAAAAUCAAAUGGACUCACGUUUAGUGUCUCUGUGGGCCAGCAAUACAUGUACAAAGAGCAUCAAAUAGCAUCCAAUAUGUUGUUCAAUGGAUGCUUAUUUGUCCAACUUGUUUAUUUUUGGAAUUUAACAGUCCUUAUGUUACAUGCAACAAGCUGUGGUGUUUCCAGGGCUUUCUACAUAAAUCCACUCUUUAUUCUCCAUGUUGCUGUGUGCCAGCAGUCCCUGUCCAUUUGAUGUUUUCUGUUGUCCAAGCUGCAUCGGAUAACAUCCCAUGUGUGGCACAAUGCACAUUUAUUUGUUCAUCUUGCUUAUUUUUGCAAUUUAAAAGUCCUUAUGUUAAGCAACAGCACAGUCUGUGGUGUGCACGUGUUACAGUGAGUUCCUGUCUGUUGGUUAACCUGCACCCAGGGAAACGCUGCAUUACAAAGGGAGGUCCACCUACAGUCUCACACUCCUGCGCAAUUUAUAUAGAUAUUUUCCUCUUCACAAUGCAGUAUUUGACAGGUGUGACUUAGACUCCAGAAAAUACGGCAGUACUGUUGGUGCACAAAGACAGAAAUGUGCAGACACGUUCUUCCACCAGACUCAGAGUUCCAAAGCUGUGCAUAUGAGUGGUUUUCAUUUAUGAAUCUCAAACUUUGUGAAGUUGUACGCAUGUGCAUGGGCUGGCUUCCCACUCCCACACUUCAAGUAAACAUUUGCAUAUAAACUUCUCUGCAUCUACUGCUGGUCCCAUGUUAUCACAUCACAUAGCUCACAGUGUAAAAUAAAGUAUCUGAAUUAAUUUUCAUAAAAGUACCUGUUUUCCUAUAUGUUAGUGUGGAUACUGGAAAUUGAACCUUGACUUCUGACCUGAUCAUUAACCAUUCCUAACCAAUAUCAAAUCAAUUAUUCCUAACUGUCAGUCCAAUAUAACUGUGAAAUUUGAUCAAAAUCAUAUUAAGUGUACUUUAGUUAUUUACAAUGCACUUUGUUAAUAGUAAACUGUACAUAUUAAUUCCAUUAAUUACCAUUAAUAUAAACGUGUGUGCAAUUGCAAGCUGUGUGACAUAGGCUGCUUUGUUUUCUGUUCAUUUCCGUCCACUUUAUUUUUAAUUUCCACGUCACGAUAUCAGGCUCAACUUGCUCUCGAAAAUGUGUGUACACAUCGUGUGAAAUAUAUGUGAGGUUGCUCCAUUCUUCUUUGAUAAAUUCCUGUUAAUGUGGUGGAACACGUGUGUGUGUGUGUUUUGUGCAUAUACAUUGUUUAUAUAAAAAUAAAAGUUGGGUCAGAUUACUUACAAUAUAUACAAUACAUUAUACAAUACAUUUGGAAUAUUUUGGAUUCUAAUCUGUUAUUAGCACUUAAUACGAAAAAUAUAAAAUAUUUAAAACAAAUAUUUAUGUUUGUGUACAUUUUUAAUACGAAGUGCUAAAAAUGUAUUAGAGAUUACAAAUAAUCCAAAUGAUUCCAAAUGUGUUUUGUAUUCAGUAACUGACUGCAUUUCAGAGUAAUCCGACUGAUCUCUGUUUAGAAAUGAACAGCAGCGGGACAUCAGUCUCUGGUUACUAAAUUUCCUCUAUGAAAAAUCCCAGUGUCCUCUGACAUAUAUGGACGGGGAAUGUAGCCUUAUUUGAUAUUUUCGGGGCAUUAUUUAAUUUUUGGUGAAUUAGGGAAUAACCCUGUUGUGUCUGAUGAUUUGCAGACGUUCAUGCUGGAUUUUACGGUCGCAAAUUGAGUUUUAGUGCGAUGGCUUUGUAGGAGUGGGUCACACCAGAUUCAGAAAAUGCUCGUAAAUCCAAAGAAUUGUGUAAAUUAAGUGUGAAUUCUCCCUGGAUGUAAAUCAGCCAGCCAAAUCGUCCAGCAUGAACAUCCGCAAGUCAUCAAAUACAACAGGGUUGUUCCCAUUCUAAUCCAAUUCCAUCGUUUUCACGGUUUAUUUCUCUGUAAGUAAUUCAGUCGGUGAAUCGUUGUGAAAGGGUGUGGUCGGCUUAUCGAAGCUUGCUGUCGCAACAUUGUCUUCAUGCCAAACUGGAGCUUCUGUGAGCAGACCCACAGAUUUCUCCAUCUCACCAGCUGCAUUGAGUUAAAUCCACGGCAAAUCCAUCAAUCAAUCCAGUUACAUCCAUCAAACCCACACAUUUCGGCAUCGCCGUCCCUGCACUAGUUUCUGUUGCUCUGGGGUUGCAUCAUUGUUGUCACCUGAGAGCAACACGGUCGGGGCGGAGUAACACAUCAAAUGUAAAACAGUUUUAAUAUUUUGCCACCGUCCACGCGAUAUUUUAUGGUCUGAAAUCUCACAUGAUUAACCAAUCAGAUUUGCGGAAAAAAUGUAAUUGGAUUAGAAUGUGGGCUGAAUGUGGUGUGAACCAUUCGUACAAGCCCAUCAUUCUAAAAACAUAUGAGAAUUUUCAGCGUGGUUUACGAUAAUGUUCUUGCAUGAAGUCCAUAUAUGCAGAUGGAAAUGUUUUCAACUCAUUUAUUAUGGUCCAUUGUGUUUGUGCUCCUCAUAUAAAUAUCUGUUGCAGAGCUUUAAGAAGCCAUGGGAAUCUACUUCAAAGUUGUUGUCUUUUAUUUCUAUUAAACAGCUACUUGAAAUUUCCAAAUGCCUUGUGAUAUCUCUGGUGUUGAGUCAGUUUUUGUAAACUUUAGACUCCAGUUUGUAACAACCAAAAGUCAGAUUAGUUGCUUCAGAACUUGUGGACAAACUACCUUCCAGUGAUCCAGUGGUACUGACACAGUAUGCAACUGUAAAGUACUGUUACUGAUAUUUGCGUCUGGGAUAAUAAUGAUAUAUGUAUGUGUACUUGAUGCCGGUGCUUUGCCUUUUUAUGCUUCAUUAAAUGUGAACGCUGAAUGUCUCCAUGUGUCAUUAUUAAUAUGGGCUCAUCUGCUUCUUUUGACAUUAAAACCUAAAUACUGAC